CUUGAACUGGGCUGGUCUUGGCAUUCGACUUCCUCUUCUGUCUUGUGGCUGCUGAUGCUGCAGUACAUGAAUUGCCCCUGCUUGCUUGGAGAUCCUUUGACAUUAGGUCACCAGAACCAGCCAGAUCCAGCUCCGUUCCUGCUUGGUGUCAGACUCCACUGCUAUGUUUCGCUGAGUGAUGAUGACAAACUACAGCCGGUGAUGGCCAGACAUCACUUCAGUCUUUUACGAUGGACUUCAGAGGAUGAACUGAUGCCAACUCCAACCAUAAGACAUGGGAUACUUAAUAUGCCACUGCCUGAACCUUGGACUUAGGAUGGACCCCACUGAACCUCACCGAAAUGACCUGCCGGUUGAACUGCGAUGCACCUCAUUGAUCUCUGCCUACAUCACCUUUGUCUAUUGAUGGACUACACUCUUGAAAUGGAAUACAUAGACUAUCAAUUAAUUGCCAACAAAAGGCUUCAUCAGCCAACUAACAAAGGACAAUGCAUCAAUGAAUCUUCUGCAGUUAAUCCAGGAUGGACUUCAAAGACAUUAGUCAUUAAUUUUACAGUUCAUACAAAAUCUUUGUUUAAACACUGGCCCUUAACGCUUAUUUUGUUUACUACUUUUUAAACCAUGACUUGUGCUGCACACAAAUAACUAAUAUUGGCAUUAUAUUCAUGCUGUUAGCAAGAGGGGAACUGGCCCCACAGUGAGCCUGGUUUCUCCCAAGGUUAUUUUUCUCCAUUAACCAACAUUUUAUGGAGUUUUGUGCUCGUCACAGUUGCCUUCGGCUUGCUCACUGGGGUACUAAAUACAAUUAUUAAUUAAUUAUUUACUUAUUUAUUUUUAUACACAAUUUACAAUCAUAUUUAAUCAAACUACACAAUGAUGACUCUAAGACAUUAUAGAUAUUACAGUUUCAUUGUUUGUUAAAGCAUGAUUUUCUAUAAAGCUGCUUUGAAACGAUGUGUGCUGUGAAAAGUGCUAUACAAAUAGAAAUUGCUUGACUUGUGGAAUAUUCCGGGUUCAAUACAAGUUAAGCUCAAUCGACAGCAUGUGUGGCAUAAUGGUUCUAACCACAAAAAAGUAUUCUGACUUGAACAAAAAUGUAUAAAAAAAAAAAUAAAAAAAAUCGAGGUUACAGUGAGACACUUACAAUGGAAGUGAAUGGGGCCAAUUUUUUGGAGGAUUUAAAGGCAUAAAUGUGAAGCUUAUAGUUUUAUAAAAUAACAUACAUUAAUUCUUCUGUUAAAACUUGUGUAGAAUUUGAACUAUAAAGUUGUUUAAAUCUGCGUUUUUACAGUCGUUUUAGGGUUUAUGGGGUUACGUCAUCAUGGCAACAAAGUUGUUAAAUUGGAUAUAUAACUUUACACAGAAAAGGUUAAUUAAGGAUUUUAUCACACUAAAGUCAUGAUAACACGUUAACAUCAUGGUAACCUUGAAUUAUUAUUAUUAUUAUUUUUUUUUAUAAAGGAGGGACAAGCCGAAAUAAAUGUUUGUGUGUAAUCAACAUUAUCUCACAAAUGCUGUCGAUUGAGCUAAACGUAUUGAACAUGGAACAUUCCUUUAAGCUUCUGUACUGCCAAAAUAACAGCAACUGUUUGUUGCUUUCACACCCUUCAAACAUCUGUUUUGGUGGGAAAAUUCCAUGGGAAAGUUGUACCACAUUCAGAAACAAAGCAGCCUACAAGUAAACCAACAUUGCGCAAAAUGAUGCCUUUUGUGUCUUGUGACAUACACAAGUUGUUCUACAUUGGGGGCAUUUCUAGGCUCACAAUAAAAGCCCUUUUGAUUGAUGGAAACCCUGGAGGGCACUGCAGGUGUUGCGUGGGAUAUAUCUAUCACACGCCAAAUUGAAACUGGAGUUGUUCCUCCCGGAUUGAGAUGGAUGGAAAACAGCAUUCCACAAGUUUGCACGAAAGAAAGCGAGAGAGCUGGGGUCUGCACUUGACAGGCAAGACACGGCCUCGCUGUAACAAAGGUGAAAGUUUGACCUUCUUAUCUCACUAUUAGGUUUGCCUGAGAGGUAGAGUGGAGGAGUGUAGACCAGGGCAAGGUGAAAUAUGCGUUAAGUGCUUCAUGUAUCACAUAUAUGGGAUGCCAUUUACAGACCUCAGACCUUGCUGUAUCCUCUACCAGAGAGCUGUUAGGGAUGUCUGAACUGGACAGUAGCCUGGUGCUUUAAUUAUGGGUGUGUGUGUUUUAUGAGAGGAAAAUUGUUAUUACAGGUGUUAACUUGCAUAAAAAAGGAUAGGAUCUUGUUCUAAAACCCCUAAGCCUAAGUGUUAAACUUCAGUUCGUAACAUGUCCUGCACUGUUUGUGCUAUGAACAUGAAUGAUGCCUCAAAUCAUGCAUCUUGUUGAUAAAGGUGUGCCACUGGCACUGGAAUAAGUGUGAGUGGGGGGGGGCGCAGCAAACUGAGCUGAUUGUGACAUCAUUGCAACAACAUUCCGUAGUCAAUAUGGCCAAUUUAUAAUAAUAAAAACUAAAAUGAACAAAAUGUAUAUGCUGAAUUUAUACCAGACAUUGUCAAAUCACAGUGACUGACUAGUUAUUUAUCAACAUACACAGUUCAAAGGCUGACGUAAUCUUACAAAAGAGAUUCAAAUCUGUUUCCGCGCCACUGGCACAGAGAGAGACCGGCAUACACUUGUCAUUACAUUCACAGUUCACACAUACCUUUGAUGAGGCAGCUUUCUUAAGUUUCAGAUACUUCUGGAACACUGUAUUGGUUCAACUGCUUGUUCUUGUGUAUGGGUCCCUCUUUUUUAUAUCUAUUAAAUCAUUUGACUGCUUUCGACAACGUUACACAAGCACAAAAUGCCCUGUGUUUUAUACCUUUUUUUUAAACGGCAUACUGCAUUUGACAUUGUGUAACUUGAAAAGGGUUAAAGUUAUUUCCUCAUCCCCAAGGUUAGGAUACAAAGUAAUAUUGUUCAUUAUCCUACUUUGUAUAAUUCUGCUGACUUUCAGACUGAUCUUCGAUAUCAGUCUUGUCUUACUGUGAAUUAAGUCAAAUUUCCCUCUUGAAAGAAGAAUAACACGAAACCCACAUAGGUUUUAAAACCCAUUAUUUUUCUCGAUAAGCUUGAUAACAUUGUGCAAAUAGUAUAUGGUCAUUCUACGACUAUCAUAUAAGUCAUAUAAUGCAAGUUAUAACUACUUACAUAAACAUCUGGAUUGGUGUAUAACAGAACAUCUCAUUAUGGUUCAACUCGUGUGUACAAACAACAAAGAAUGUCAGUGGCAGCUAGCCAGUACGCCCUCAUCCACAUUCAUUCAUUCAUUUUUUAUUCAGGUUUGAAGCUUUACAAAGCAAGUUUUUAUAGAGCACGACACUAGUUUAAAUAUGCUGAAUAUACAAUUUCCUCAGAAACUGUACAAAUCUAAUUUAUCAUUAUGCUUUGGUGUUCGUGGUGCAUUUUGAACUCUUUAAAUCUAGAUACUUCAUAUCUGGUUACUUUAUCUGAACUGAUUAUUUGAUCAUUUGAACUAUCCACUCACUGUAAAGCCUA